rnacentral:sRNA from 1 species
CCAGUCCGGCGGGUCAAGUGCACUCUCUCCCGCCGCGGGCAACUCGACAAGUUUGCCGUCGGACUUGUUUUGAAUGAUCCGGUGCACGUAGCCGUCGCCCACGUAGUCCCAGACACGUUGAGAAGCAAGGUCCAUGGCAAAUGCGUGAGAAGUGUCCUUGAAGUGUGCAAAGGCAUGAGCUUCGUCAUAGCGGCCGCAGCCAAUGUUGCCGCAUAUCAAACAUAGCCACAGAUUCACCUCGGAAUGACACACACGACACUCUGCGGGGCCCUGAUCGAAAUCAAAGGCAUGAGCUGCCCUCUUGCCGAAUUCCUCCUGCGUAUACCGGCAAACAGGACAUCCGCUGCCUUUCCACUUUUGCAGGCAUGUACAGUGGAAAACAUGCUGGCAAAUGAUCCGAGGGCGUUGGAGGCGCCAAUGGUUUCGUAGACAGUGACGUUGAAGAAAGCGUACUCGAUUGAGGAGGGGGGGAUGCUGAGGAUACUAGGCCCUGAUUCGUUGUUGCGGGUGUAAAGGGGUCAUUAUUCAUAUCUGGAAACUUGCUCUCUGUCCCCGGUGCUUCGACCUGAAUCUCGACGGUUUUCACAAAUACGACAUGACACGUUUCAGGCUGUAAAAAUAACAUAGCAAAAUAAUGCAAACAUCAGCAACAAAUCCAGAGCAAGGAUCGAGCCCCUAUCGAACAGGAAAAAAGAGAAAAAAGGGCAGACACCUCACCUCCAUUGAAUUGAACACCUUCCCGUUCCAAGCUCGCUGCCACUCCUUCGCCUUUUUCCCGCUCCGAAACUUCAUUAAAACCAUAUACCGAUUCGCCCGCGCCGUCCUUAUCAUCCGAAAGUGGCUAACCUCGUCCCUCGUCUGGUCGCCCACAAACCCUAAAAAGUCCGACGGAGACAUAUACGACGGGACCGCGAGUAUGCACAAAGUGGAACAAUCCUCCGUGGAAUGGGCGGCCGCGUCUGUUACUGCUGAA